UACCAGACUCCUACGGGAGGCAGCAGUGGGGAAUAUUGCACAAUGGGGGGAACCCUGAUGCAGCGACGCCGCGUGAGUGAAGAAGUAUCUCGGUACGUAAAGCUCUAUCAGCAGGGAAGAAAAUGACGGUACCUGACUAAGAAGCCCCGGCUAACUACGUGCCAGCAGCCGCGGUAAUACGUAGGGGGCAAGCGUUAUCCGGAUUUACUGGGUGUAAAGGGAGCGUAGACGGCCAGACAAGUCUGAAGUGAAAAUCCAGCGCUUAACGUUGGAAGUGCUUUGGAAACUGCCGGGCUAGAGUGCAGGAGGGGCAGGCGGAAUUCCUAGUGUAGCGGUGAAAUGCGUAGAUAUUAGGAGGAACACCAGUGGCGAAGGCGGCGUGCUGGGCUUUUACUGACGCUGAGGCUCGAAAGUGUGGGGAGCAAACAGGAUUAGAUACCCGUGUAAUG
rnacentral:rRNA from 1 species